AUUGAACGCUGGCGGCAGGCCUAACACAUGCAAGUCGAGCGGCAGCACGGGUACUUGUACCUGGUGGCGAGCGGCGGACGGGUGAGUAAUGCAUGGGAAUCUGCCUGGUAGUGGGGGACAACGUUUCGAAAGGAACGCUAAUACCGCAUACGCCCUACGGGGGAAAGCAGGGGAUCUUCGGACCUUGCACUAAUAGAUGA
rnacentral:rRNA from 1 species